rnacentral:tRNA from 1 species
AUCUUUUUAGUAUAACAAAUAUACUUGACUUCCAAUCAAGAGAUCUUAAUAAAAGAAAAGGUA